GUGCUUAAAAAGUGUUUAAAGAAAAAUAUUUAAACUCUUAUUAUUAAAUAAAGAACACUUUUUUUGUUGUUGUUUUUUUAACUGUGAGGAGACUGACAUAGGAAGCACCAAGAAAUUACAAGCCCUGAGAAAAGAACAUUUGGGUGAAAAACUGUGGUGAAAGUUGGAAUAAAAUUUCUGGAAAGGCUUUGGAGUGAAGGUUUGGAACUUGAAUUUGAGGUGCGAGGGUUCAUGAAGUCAGUAAAAGGAUUGUAGUCUUCCCCCUCUGAGGCAUCCCAACAUGGACUGUGCUCAUGAUGUUGAUAGCUCCUAAUAACAGCCCCAGAGGAGGGAGUCUGCCAAUGGGGGAAAGAGGACUUCAGUCUGCAUGGCUACCACGCGUUCAUGGGCAGUAAAAUCACAUAUGCAAUUUCUUAACAAGAGACGAGGAAGAGAACGUAAAUGAUCAUCAUAUGUUUGCUGCAGUAGGUGAUGUGUAAUGCUUUUCAAAAUAUUUUAAUAUUAAAAUAUCUUUCAUGACUGUGAAGGUAACUUUUUAUUUCACACUUGUAGGAUCUAUUGAAUAAAACAUAUUCUUGUCUUUGUGUGGCUUGCUAAAGUCUUGAGGAGAUCCCUAAAAUUUAAAUUAUUCAUUAUUUCUUGUGAUCUUUUGCAAUUCUUGAUGUUUUGGGCUGAUUGGUCACUUGGCUGGGGAGCUCUGAUCUUAGGUAAUGAAAAACGGAGAUAAUUCCUGCUUAGGAAAAGCAGAAAUGGCUAUCCUGCUUAGGAUAGGCAAAAAGCUAUCCAGUGCAGUCCCUAAAGCUGUCGUACUUCGGUAGG